GGCNGUGAGGUGUGGGUCAUGUCCCGUAACGAGCGAAACCCCUGUGUCUAGUUGCCAGCGGGUCAUGCCGGGAACUCUAGACAGACCGCCGGCGUUAAGCCGGACGAAGGCGGGGAUGACGUCAAGUCCUCAUGGCCCUUAUGCUUGGGGCUGCACACGUANUACAAUGGGACGGACAGAGNGAUGNGAUGCNGCAAGNCNGAGNUAAUNGCACAAACCGUCCCCCAGUUCGGAUUGCGGGCUGCAACCCGCCCGCAUGAAGCCGGAAUCGCUAGUAAUCGCGGAUCAGCAUGCCGCGGUGAAUGUGUUCCUGAGCCUUGUACACACCGCCCGUCAAGCCACCAAAGCGGGGGGCAUCCGAAGUCGCCGGAGCCGCAAGGCAGGCGCCGAAGGUGAAACCCGUGAUGGGGACUAAGUCGUAACAAGGUAA
rnacentral:rRNA from 1 species